CCUACGGGAGGCAGCAGUGAGGAAUAUUGGUCAAUGGGCGGAAGCCUGAACCAGCCAAGUAGCGUGCAGGAUGACGGCCCUACGGGUUGUAAACUUCUUUUAUACGGGAAUAACGCGCCUUACGUGUAGGGCUUUGCAUGUACCGUAUGAAUAAGGACCGGCUAAUUCCGUGCCAGCAGCCGCGGUAAUACGGAAGGUCCGGGCGUUAUCCGGAUUUAUUGGGUUUAAAGGGAGCGUAGGCCGCAUGUCAAGCGUGCUGUGAAAUUUCGGGGCUCAACCCGGGCCUUGCAGCGCGAACUGGCGUGCUUGAGUCCGCGGAAAGCAGGCGGAAUUCGUGGUGUAGCGGUGAAAUGCUUAGAUAUGACGAAGAACCCCGAUUGCGAAGGCAGCUUGCUGGAGCGGAACUGACGCUGAUGCUCGAAAGCGCGGGUAUCGAACAGGAUUAGAUACCCGGGUAGUC
rnacentral:rRNA from 1 species